rnacentral:lncRNA from 1 species
CAGUGUCGGAAACAGGAAAGUUUUAAUAAAAAGUUUUGAUAAAAAGUAAAAUAACAAAACUUUAAAUNCACCAAAUUCUCUCAGGGAACCCCAGAAGGCUCCCAGGAGAUGCCACAAGGUCGGGGGGAAUCCCAGGGUGCUGCUGAGGGAGGGCUGGGACAGCUGAGACUGCUCAGAGGAGAAAAGCAACAGGAGAAGGGUCCAGGAGGGAGCCAGGGCCACCAGAUCCCAGGGGAACACCCUGAGAUCCCACAGGAACCUCCAGCAGAUCCCACAGGAACCUCCAGGAGAUCCAACAAGAACAUCCAGGAGAUCCCAUGGGAAGCAUCCACCAAAUUCCAUGGAAAGCUCCAGAAGAUCCCACAGGAAGCAUCCAGCAGAUCUCAGAGGAGCCUCCAACAGAUCCCAUGGGAACACCCACCAGAUCCCACACGGACCUCCAGAAGAUCUCAUGGGAACAUCCCGAAGAUCCCAUGGGAAGCAUCCACCAAAUUCCAUGGAAAGCUCCAGAAGAUCUCACAGGAACACCUACCAGAUCCCACAGGAACCUCCAGCAGAUCCCACGAGAACAUCCAGGAGAUCCAACAAGAACCUCCAGCAGAUCCCACAGGAACAUCCAGCAGAUCCAACAAGAACCUCCAGCAGAUCCCACAGGAAGCCCCAGCAGAUCCCACAGGAAGCCCCAGCAGAUCCCACAGGAACACCAUCAGGUCCCAGAGGAAGCUCCGGGAGCCGCUCUCUCUCCCCACAAUUAACGAGACACAGUUAAUUACUGACCAGCACAGCCACCGCCUGUGCCAGCUGUGCCAGGGGGGGCACAGCCUGGGCUAGGGGGGGGACACACAGGUGCCACCUGUCACCCCCAGGUCAUACGGGGCUCUGUCACAGCACCAGCUGGGGGGGGUGACACAGAGGUGCCACCUGUCACCACUCAGGUCACCAUGGCAGUACCAGCUGGGGGGGGUGACACAGAGGUGCCACCUGUCACCACUCAGGUCACCAUGGCAGUACCAGCUGGG